AGACCACAGAUAUUCCGGUGCAUCACUGUAACUUCUGGGCUGCUCUCGGCUGCCUUUGUAGCGCUUCUGUUCUCGGUAGCUACGCAGGGCCAGCACCACGCUGGCACUAUACAUGAUCACGAGAAGACAAGCAAAGGUGGCUGCUGCUCCGUCAGUGCCUGCCAGCUGGCAGUUCAUCCAGGUGAGACCCUUGCGGGCAUAGAGCCUCUCUCUUGUUUUGCAAGUGUCGGUGCUAUUGAUCUGCAGAGCCACGUGGAGGUAAACACCAAUGCCUGUGCAGUAGCCCGCUGCCGCUAGGAGGCUGAAGGCGGCCUCUGUGAGGAGCCACUUCCCUGACAACAUUGUUAGACUCUUGGCUCCUUGGAGUAAAACACCCAUGGUGAGGACCCCCAGACCCAGAGAAACAGCCACGCCACCAUAUAUCAGGGGCGACCGGAGGAUCGUGUACUGCUGGUCCAGCUGCCGAACCUGCUCUAGCUCAGUGCCCUCGAACGAUGUUUUUAGAUCAGUUCCUACAAGAGGAGCCACAUUUUGUUAAGUGGCCUUCGACUUCAUUGUAUGGAUGGAUUUGUCUGUUCAACCAGGACCUUACUGAUAGAUAUUUGGACUGAAAGGAACCCACAAAUGGCACAAGGCAGAGGAAGCCAACAGGCCAACAGACUGAAGAUCUUCUUGUCCAAGGUCAGCUUUUAUUUGUUACUGACAGAGGCCCCAAAUCCUUCUUAGGUGUCCUUCUGGGAGAGGUUCUCCUGCCAUUCCAGUGGCGUUCAGGGAUGAGCAUGAAGAGAAAAACAAAUGAACCAAGAGCAGGACCACUAGAUUCAAGUCCCUGCUUUUUACUGUCUUGUCAUCUUGGCCAAGCCAUUCAGUCCUUCUAAGCCUCAGACAAUAUGACAAAUGAAGCUAAGUCUGCCAAUCUUCACCCACAGGGAUGUGGGGAGGCUCAAAUGAAAGCAACCGUGUGAUAAUGUGGGAAGUUAACAACAACAACAAAAAAGCAAGUAUGUGAAAAUACUCUAAAAAUAAAAUAGUAUACAAAUGGA